AAAUUGAAGAGUUUGAUCAUGGCUCAGAUUGAACGCUGGCGGCAGGCCUAACACAUGCAAGUCGAGCGGUAGCACAGAGAGCUUGCUCUCGGGUGACGAGCGGCGGACGGGUGAGUAAUGUCUGGGAAACUGCCUGAUGGAGGGGGAUAACUACUGGAAACGGUAGCUAAUACCGCAUAAUGUCGCAAGACCAAAGUGGGGGACCUUCGGGCCUCAUGCCAUCAGAUGUGCCCAGAUGGGAUUAGCUAGUAGGUGGGGUAACGGCUCACCUAGGCGACGAUCCCUAGCUGGUCUGAGAGGAUGACCAGCCACACUGGAACUGAGACACGGUCCAGACUCCUACGGGAGGCAGCAGUGGGGAAUAUUGCACAAUGGGCGCAAGCCUGAUG
rnacentral:rRNA from 1 species